rfam:Clostridium sp. CAG:288 genomic scaffold, scf3
CGGUCUGGAUAGCUACUAGCAUUUGCUAGAGGAAAGUCCAUGCUCGUACUUUCUGAGAUGGAAGUAGUGAUUGCGCUAAAGGAAAAAAUAACUUUAGGCAGGGAGGAGUCCCUGACGGCGGAUGAUGUUCUAAACCUUAUGGCAUGAACUAAUCCAUAAAGUUCCACAGUGACGAUAUUAAUGGAAACGUUAAAGUGAAACGCGGAAAACCCCACAAACGAGAAACCUAAAUUUUGGUAAGGGAAGUUCCAAUGAGAAAAUGAACUUAAAGGAACAAGCUUUAUAGCUUAGAUAAAUUGCUGUCCACGACAAAACAUGGCUUAUAGGA